AAGUCGUAACAAGGUUUCCGUAGGUGAACCUGCGGAAGGAUCAUUAACAAAAUCUAAUUUUACCUUUGUGAAUUGGGCAAUCGAGCAAUUGAUUGUUUUAUUUUUUACUCUAGUCUAAAUCUAUACAACAAAUUAUAUAAUAAUUUUUAACAAUGGAUCUCUAGGCUCUU
rnacentral:misc_RNA from 1 species